AGUGAACGCUGGCGGUAGGCCUAACACAUGCAAGUCGAACGGCAGCACAGUAAUAGCUUGCUCUUACGGGUGGCGAGUGGCGGACGAGUGAGUAAUACAUCGGCAUCUACCCCUUCGCGGGGGAUAACGUAGGGAAACUUACGCCAAUACCGCAUACGACCUCCGUGUGAAAGCAGGGGAUCUUCGGACCUUGCGCGGUUGAAUGAGCCGAUGUCGGAUUAGAUAGUUGGCGGGGUAAAGGCCCACCAAGGCGACGAUCCGUAGCUGGUCUGAGAGGAGGGUAAGCCACACUGGACCGGAGACACGGUCCAGACUCCUACGGGAGGCGGCAGUGGGGAAUAUUGGACAAGGGGAGCAAGCUUGAUCCAGCCAAACCGAGUGGGUGAAGAAGGCAUUCGGGUUGGAAAGCCAUUUUGUUGGGAUAGAAAAGCAGCAGGUUAAUACCCCGCUGUUCUGACGGUACCCAAUGAAUAAGCACCGGCUAACUUCGUG
rnacentral:rRNA from 1 species